UACGGAGGGUGCAAGCGUUAUCCGGAUUCACUGGGUUUAAAGGGUGCGUAGGUGGGUAAGUAAGUCAGUGGUGAAAUCUCCGGGCUUAACCCGGAAACUGCCAUUGAUACUAUUUGUCUUGAAUACUGUGGAGGUCAGCGGAAUAUGUCAUGUAGCGGUGAAAUGCUUAGAUAUGACCCAGAACACCAAUUGCGAAGGCAGCUCGCUAAACCAUAACUGACGCUGAUGCACGAAAGCGUGGGGAGCAAACAGG
rnacentral:rRNA from 1 species